UACGGAGGAUGCAAGCGUUAUCCGGAAUUAUUGGGCGUAAAGCGUCCGCAGGUGGCACUUCAAGUCUGCUGUCAAAGACCGGGGCUUAACCCUGGAAAGGCAGUGGAAACUGAAGCGCUAGAGUGUGGCAGGGGUAGAGGGAAUUCCCAGUGUAGCGGUGAAAUGCGUAGAGAUCGGGAAGAACAUCGGUGGCGAAAGCGCUCUACUGGGCCAUAACUGACACUCAGGGACGAAAGCUAGGGGAGCGAAUGGG
rnacentral:rRNA from 1 species